GAUGAACGCUGGCGGCGUGCCUAAUACAUGCAAGUCGAGCGAACGGACGAGAAGCUUGCUUCUCUGAUGUUAGCGGCGGACGGGUGAGUAACACGUGGAUAACCUACCUAUAAGACUGGGAUAACUUCGGGAAACCGUAGCUAAUACCGGAUAAUAUUUUGAACCGCAUGGUUCAAAAGUGAAAGACGGUCUUGCUGCCACUUAUAGAUGGAUCCGCGCUGCAUUAGCUAGUUGGUAAGGUAACGGCUUACCAAGGCAACGAUGCAUAGCCGACCUGAGAGGGUGAUCGGCCACACUGGAACUGAGACACGGUCCAGACUCCUACGGGAGGCAGCAGUAGGGAAUCUUCCGCAAUGGGCGAAAGCCUGACGGAGCAACGCCGCGUGAGUGAUGAAGGUCUUCGGAUCGUAAAGCUCUGUUAUUAGGGAAGAACAUAUGUGUAAGUAACUGUGCACAUCUUGACGGUACCUAAUCAGAAAGCCACGGCUAACUACGUG
rnacentral:rRNA from 1 species